GCUGAAUAUAGUUUUUCCAUUGGAUUAGUCUAAAAGGUAAAAGCAAAUGCGUGUCUUUAGAGCAUCUCUUCUUGUGCACAUCAAAUAUACAGUGUGUUGAAGGCCUGGGAGGCCAUCCGACCUCCUACCUGAUGGAUUACACUAGGUUAGUGUCACGUUUUACUAACGCUCCCUAGAAAACCUUAUUUUAGAAACAUUUCCUGCCUCAUUUUAUCUGAGUUUGCUCAAGGAACUGAAAUCAUCAUGUCCUGAGCUACAUGCCAUGUGCAAGGUCUCUGGCUUAGCACACAGAAAACUCAGAGGAAUUGUAAUUCAGUGAUUCUUGCCAUCUGCAAGCCUGUGGAAUUCAGGUGCCCACAGGAAGGAAUGGAGAGUUUUUUCCAGCCUGACCGUAUCAGCCAUCUCACCACAAGAACCUUCUGUUUUGGCUGUCGUCCCUCUAUCAGACUCAGGCUGCUCCUUAUGGCCAACUGUGAUGUUUCACAUCCUCCUUCUUAAUCUACUGUCUAUUUGGAGACCAUUUCCAACCACCAAGAGUAACAAGGUGAGUUCAACUAUGAAAUACAUAAACUUGAAGCCAGCAAUUAGAGCUUUCUGAUGUGUUCAUAAUACAUCCAUUUUGUAUUGCCAUUCUUGCUGUGCAGUGUGGAAGAACAAUAAUGUAUGAUUUGCAUACAAAGAAAAUUAAUAUUCAAAGAGAAAUGAUAAUGUCUCUGUAAGACAUCAUUAGUUAUGUUUAUCACAGACACAACAACAAAGAUGCUUUUAUGCUAGAUUUAAGGAGAGAGUAAAAAUUAUUUGAAAGUGUUUAUAUGAAGCUUAUGUUUUGCAUAUUCCAUUAUGGGCUAUAUAAAUGUAAAUAUACUUUUUUAAGAGAGUUUGACUACUUGCCCACUGUCAGUUAUGGGCAUUAACUUGCUUCUCAUUAUAGUGAUUAAUUGGAAAUGAUUCUUAGCCUAAUGCAACCGAAGUAUCAUGCCAUGUCUCAGCAUUAGUGAAAGAAAGAUGGAGACAUGUAGUACUAAUUAAUAGGAAGUCUAUAUUCAGUAUUUAGACCAUAAGGAAG
rnacentral:lncRNA from 1 species